GUAUCACUUCAGCAGCACAUGUACUAAAAUUGGAAGAAUACAGAGAAAGUUGACAUGGCUCGUGAGCAAGGAUGACAAGCAAAUUUGUGAAGUGUUUCAUACAUUC
ensembl:snRNA U6 U6 spliceosomal RNA